AGGUUAGUGAAAACGUACAGGGUUAGCAACAAGAGGUUGAGUACUCAUGUUAACAAGGAAAGGGGGUGUGAGUCUCAAAUCUACACUGCAAGGUCCACAGAGGCUUCCUCGCCCACAACAGGAGGAAGGGAGCAGAGGCAUCACGGGGCAUUCACCACCUCCCUCCAGCUUGAGGGCCCACUCAUAGAGACUACUUAGGCUGCUGAAGGAGCCUUGGGCCAGGUGCAACCGCUUAGGUUUCAUCUCUGGGAAGUCCCAGGCUCAAAUUCAGGAUAGGGCCUCUCAGUGUGAAUGGCGAGGGGUCCUCCUCACCCCCUCCUCUGACCCAUCUGAGAGAAUAUGGUGUCAGACCCCACUGGGGAAGAGGGAACCCCAAGUCCAGGGUUCUCCCAUCAUCAGUUAAUCCAAGGCCUUCUCCCUCUCCAUGAGAAUGUGGCCCAUUAUUUCUCCAAUCGACUUACUUCUAGCAAUCACAGAACGUCUGUGCUUCCUUCUCACUCUGCUGGUGGCCAUCUUUGUUGUGGGAAGAGGUUUUUACCUGGAAAGAGGCAAGCCGGACAUUGAGUGUAGCCUGCAGAAGGAUACAAAUCACAAGGAGGUUCCCGAAAGAAAAAGGAGCCACCCAUAAGCAAGAAAUGACCAAAGAAGGGAGAUGGAACCAUUGUGUUUUGGUCAUAGUAGCAUGUUUUGAGAAAGAGUUUGGGGCAGAUGUCCAGGGUCCACUGACAGGAAGAUACAAGAGG